GUGUGUGUGUGUGUGUGUGUGUGUUAUGACUGAGUGUCUGGCACUGGACAACCAAUUGGUGUGCUGUUUCCUGGGGAAUAUCACCUCCCCCGCUCCCACCUUUCCUCACUUGCCUAGAGCUAGCUCUUUGUUGAUGAGGCCUUAUGGGCUUUUCCCUAUCCACUUUGGCAUGUCCAUUUUUCAGCUCACCUUUGGGAAGUCAUGCUAUUGACACUCUAAGGGCACAGUGUCUGAAUCCCUAAUAACAAUUUAUAAACAUCUGUCCUUUAGCCAUAGAUAAGUAUAAAUGUUAUCCCUCAUCAAGGAAAAUUUUCUUUGCCACAGGUGGAGACUACUUCCAGAAAACCAUAACCUUUGAAAACUCAGAGCUGCAGAACCUAGCCCCGAUGGAUACAUCUUUUAUCUUUAAACAAGAAAAAGGCAAACUGUGAAAUAGUGGAGGAAAAGCCUCAAUCGGCAGAAGAGAGAAGGGAUUGCAGGACUGGAAACUACAUCUCCUGCACAACUGAAGCGAGGAGCUGUAUCUCUGUACUUCUCUCCCUCCCCUCCCUUUCUCUCUCUCAGCUUCUUUUGGAAAAGGCCAUUUAACCCCCCUUCCUAGUGGAAUGUUUCCUGUGGGUCUCAGGGCAGCUCCUUUUGUUUUUCUGCUUCCCUAAUGGGUAUGUGUGAUAUAAUAAAAAGAUUGUUCUUUCUA